GUGCAACUGAAGAACAUGGAGGUGGUCCGUGUGCUGAACAUCCUAAUGGAUAACCACGGACACUCUUUUAUAGCUUACAAAACAUUUAGGAACAAGGCAGAUAUUUACUCCUACCCCUUGUUAUCAUCAAACAUGGACAUUUUCCACCUGUCCGGUUUGAGGGAUGAUGUACAGUAUACCCCAGUCAUCAAUGUCCAACGGAAAUAUGUUCUCCUUCCAUACAAAGAUGGCUAUUCUGCCAUGCCGCUGCUUCAUCUGUAGACUUCUGUAUUUCUCGGUGCCGUCCUUUAUCCCUGCCUUUUUUUUCUGGUUGGCUGGAGAAUGAUUUAGUAUGGUCAUCCACACUACACCAGGGCAGGCAGGCCCCAUCUAGCAACCCGAAGCAUCAAAGCGCCACUAACCAAGUCCCUCCUGCACUGCCAGCAGCCUACAAUCUCCCAAGUUGUCCCCAACAACCUUUUGCAUCCAGCCACCAGCCUUGCUCUGCAAACCAUCUCCACCAUUUUCCAGCCCUAAAUAAAAGUCAACGGCAACUACACUCUCCCGAUUUGUAUUGGACAUGCCACUGUGACAAUUUUUGUCACUAGCUAGCUACUUAAUAGUACGUGUUGGUAAUAAAUAACAUGAUAAUAAAAUAUAACCAUUUUGAAAAUCUUUACUUAAUUCUAUAGGGAAUAAAUAGUUUAUUUUUUUUGCAGGUUAAAUAUGUAUUUUGUUGUUGAGUUCCCAGAGGAAAACAACUUCACAGCUGUUGUCCCCCAGACCUGGUGCACAGGCAAAACCUGCUACUGGCCUCCCUACCCAAACACAGAUAGAAUUAGAAAGGCAUCAAUAAAUCAGGAGACACCUGACCUGUGUACCUGGACUAACCAUCCCAUCAUCAUAAAGAAAAGAAAAGAUAACUAUACAAAAGCCCAUGCCUUUUACAUUCGGGCAAAAAAAGGUGAAAGCCUGGACACUGAGCCGGAGGAUGGGGAUAAGAAGCGACAGAGAAAGUAGGCAUUCAUUGAAUACAAAUAUCUUCCUGAUGCUGCUCCUUUUACCCUUUUAUCAAAGUACUUUUACUGAUUACAUAUGCCCUUCAUAUUUAUUAUAUUCAAAUUAUUCGUUUUAUUCAAACUAUUCGUUUUAUCCUACACACAUAUAUAUGUG
rnacentral:lncRNA from 1 species